UACGUAAGGUGCAAGCGUUGUUCGGAUUUACUGGGCGUAAAGGGCGCGUAGGCGGCGCGUAAAGUCGGACAUGAAAUCAUUAGGCUCAACCUAAUGGCUGUGUCCGAUACUUCCGUGCUUGGAGUGCGGGAGAGGCAGCCGGAAUUCUCGGUGUAGCGGUGAAAUGCGUAGAUAUCGAGAGGAACACCGGUGACGAAGGUGGGUUGCUGGACCGACACUGACGCUGAGGCGCGAAAGCUAGGGGAGCAAACGGG
rnacentral:rRNA from 1 species